CAAAAUGUAGCUUAACCAAAGCAUCUCGCUUACACCGAAACGAUCUCUGUUAGAACCAGAUCAUUUUGAG
rnacentral:tRNA from 1 species